rnacentral:miRNA from 1 species
GGAGAAUAGCUUGAACCUGGGAGAUGGAGGUUGCAGUGAGCUGAGAUCACGCCACUGCACUCCAGCCUGGGC